rnacentral:rRNA from 1 species
AACGCUGGCGGCGUGCAUGAGACAUGCAAGUCGAACGGACUUCUCGAGCUUGCUCGAGAAGUUAGUGGCGGACGGCUGAGUAACGCGUAGGUGACCUACCCCGAAGUGGGGAAUAACUGCCCGAAAGGGUGGCUAAUACCGCAUGUGAUCGUCCGUUCGGUCGGACAAUCAAAGCAGCAAUGCGCUUCGGGAGGGGCCUGCGUCCGAUUAGCUCGUUGGUGGGGUAACGGCUCACCAAGGCGACGAUCGGUAGGUGGUCUGAGAGGACGAUCACCCAGACUGGGACUGAGACACGGCCCAGACUCCUACGGGAGGCAGCAGUCGGGAAUUUUGCUCAAUGGGCGCAAGCCUGAAGCAGCAACGCCGCGUGAGGGAUGAAGGCCUUCGGGUUGUAAACCUCUUUUAUCAGGGACGAUUAUGACGGUACCUGAUGAAUAAGCCACGGCUAACUACGUGCCAGCAGCCGCGGUAAUACGUAGGUGGCAAGCGUUGUCCGGAUUUACUGGGCGUAAAGAGCGCGCAGGCGGUCGAGUAAGUCGAAUGUGAAAGCCCCCGGCUCAACUGGGGAGGGUCAUUCGAUACUGUUCGACUUGAAGGCAGGAGAGGGAAGCAGAAUUCCCGGUGUAGUGGUGAAAUGCGUAGAUAUCGGGAGGAAUACCAGUGGCGAAGGCGGCUUCCUGGCCUGUUCUUGACGCUGAGGCGCGAAAGCUGGGGGAGCAAACGGGAUUAGAUACCCCGGUAGUCCCAGCCGUAAACGAUGGACACUAGGUGUUGGUGGUAUCAACCCCGCCAGUGCCGUAGCUAACGCAUUAAGUGUCCCGCCUGGGGAGUACGGCCGCAAGGCUAAAACUCAAAGGAAUUGACGGGGGCCCGCACAAGCAGCGGAGCGUGGGGUUUAAUUCGAUGCAACGCGAAGAACCUUACCAAGACUUGACAUGACCAGGAAGUCGGCGGAAACGUCCGUGCCCCGCAAGGGGCCUGGCCACAGGUGUUGCAUGGCUGGCCGUCAGCUCCGUGUCCUGAGAAUGUUGGGGUUA